UGCAGUUGAACGAUUAAGCUCUCUUCGGAAGUGCAUAGAGUGGCGCAAGGGUGAGUAACACGUAAGUAAUCUACCUUUGAGUGGGGAAUAACAUCGGGAAACCGAUGCUAAUACCGCAUAAUGCAGCGGAUCGAAGAUGACAGUUGUUAAAGAUUUAUCGCUUGAAGAGGAGCUUGCGGAGAUUAGCUAGUUGGUAAGGUAAUGGCUUACCAAGGCUACGAUCUUGUAACCGGUCUAAGAGGACGGUCGGUCACACUGACACUGAAUAACGGGUCAGACUCCUACGGGAGGCAGCAGUCGGGAAUUUUCGGGCAAUGGGCGAAAGCCCUGACCCAGCAACGCCGCGUGAAGGCAUGAAGUAUUUCGGUAUGUAAACUUCGAAAGAAUAGGAAGAAUAAAUGACGGUACUAUUUAUAAGGUCCCGGCUAACUACGUGCCAGCAGCCGCGGUAAUACGUAGGGACCAAGCGUUGUCCGGAUUUACUGGGCGUAAAGGGCCGCGUUAGGCGGCGCCGAACAAGUCACUUGUGAAAUCUCUGAGCUUAA
rnacentral:rRNA from 1 species